rnacentral:lncRNA from 1 species
GUUCCAAAUAAUCCUCCCAUUAAGGUUAAAGGCUCAAAGCAAAUCAACUACAGAUUAAUUUCAUUGUCAAUUCAUCUCCACUCCCUACAAAAUCAGCUUUCCCUUGAAAUAAAGAUAUGUAAUCACUAAUAACAAAACUUUGGAUGAUGUUGAAUAUUUAUCCAGAUGUUAGACAAAGUUUUUGCCAAGCUCUCAAAAUCUAGCCUCGAGAUAUGUCUAAUG